UAGGGAAUCUUCGGCAAUGGACGAAAGUCUGACCGAGCAACGCCGCGUGAGUGAAGAAGGUUUUCGGAUCGUAAAACUCUGUUGUUAGAGAAGAACAAGGACGUUAGUAACUGAACGUCCCCUGACGGUAUCUAACCAGAAAGCCACGGCUAACUACGUGCCAGCAGCCGCGGUAAUACGUAGGUGGCAAGCGUUGUCCGGAUUUAUUGGGCGUAAAGCGAGCGCAGGCGGUUUCUUAAGUCUGAUGUGAAAGCCCCCGGCUCAACCGGGGAGGGUCAUUGGAAACUGGGAGACUUGAGUGCAGAAGAGGAGAGUGGAAUUCCAUGUGUAGCGGUGAAAUGCGUAGAUAUAUGGAGGAAAACCAGUGGCGAAGGCGGCUCUCUGGUCUGUAACCGACGCUGAGGCUCGAAAGCGUGGGGAGCAAACAGG
rnacentral:rRNA from 1 species